rnacentral:lncRNA from 1 species
AGUCAGGCCAAGUAUAGAAAGAAAACUAUUGAAGGGAGAUGCAGUCCCUUCCAUAUUUGACCUUCCAAACCAUUCAAUAAAGAAGAGUUCCAAAAGAAUAUUGAUUAAACCAGCAUUGAAUUCCUCAACUUCUACAUUCAUUAUUCAGGUUUGUUUUGCAAUUUGCAUAUACUGAUCAUUAUAUUUACACAAUACUUUAACAGUUAUGCAAUGAAUAUAUUGAUAUGAAAAUUUUUAAUAUUCUGGUUUUUUUUAUUCUUAGUAUCACAAGUUAUUGACAUGGGAGAGUAUGACAAUUCAAAUGGAAACAGUGAGAUACAAUCAUCUACAGUAGUAGCAUUGAGAAAAAAGGUGAAGAAUCUGAUUUAUAUUGCAGGACAUGUGAUUAAUAAAGUAAUGAAAAAUGUGAAAAAUCUUAAUGUGAUAAGUGUUGUAAAAUCAUCAUUUGAAAGUGAUCCCUUAUGUAUCAAGCUGGUAUUGUGUAAAUAGGGGAGGUCUUGUGUUUGCAUCAGAUGGUAUAAUUGAAAUAGUAAAAUAUGUAUAAAAGUCAUUGAGACCCCUCACAAUUCAACGUGGAAUGAUGAUAAAUUCAAUUUCUAAAAAGAUAGCAAGAUUUGUAAUACAACAUUUUUCUCAGCCG